rnacentral:tRNA from 3 species
GCACGGAUGUCAGAGUGGCUAUGAGCGGGAUUGCAGAUCCUGAGACCGGAGUUCGAAUCUCCGUCCGUGCUCCA